rnacentral:lncRNA from 1 species
UUUGAGAUAAUUGAAAAAAAUAAUAACGCCAAUUUUAAUGAUGCUAACGCCACUAACUAAACCCUAAAUUUUAAAUCUAUACCCUAAACACUAAACCCUAAACUCUAAACCCAAAUCCUAAACCCAAAUCCUAAAACCAAAUCCUAAAUCCUAAACCCUAAACCCAAAUCCUAAACCCUAAACCCAAACCGUAAACCCUAAACCCAAACCCUAUAUCCUAAACCCAAGCCAUAGACUCUAAACUCAAACCAUAUAUCCAAACGUAAUCCCUACACCCUAAACUCAAAUCGUAAACCCUGAACCCAAAUCUUAUAUCAUAAAGGUUUGGGUUAAUGUUGAUAUUGUUUCUUUCAGGUUUAAGAUUUGGGUUUAGAGUCUAGGUUUGGGUUUAGGAUCUAGGUUUGGGUUUAAGGUCUAGGGUUUGGGUUUAGAGUUUACGGUUUGGGUUUAGGGUUUGGGAUUUAGGUUUAAGAUAUAGGGUUUGAGUUUAGGGUUUAGAGUUUGGGUUUUGAAUUUAGGUUUUAGGGUUUAGAUUUAAGGUUUAGGGUUUAAAAUUUAAUAUUUAGGGCUUAGUUAGUGGCGUUAGGGUUAUUAAAAUGAGCGUCGUUAUUUUUUUCACUUAUUUUUGAUUUUUUUUUUUAAAAAUAAUGUAUUUUAUUAUUAAUC